AGAUCGUUGUGAUAGAGAGUGAAGCGUUGCAGACUGAGAGGAAGGCGUUGGUCUUUUCUGACACGAAGAAGGUAUAGACCCAGAUCGUUGUGUUGGUGAACGAAAGCGUUCCAGAGCGAGAGGAAGGUGAUACAUUGAGACAUGCACAUAAAAAAAAAAUUAAAAAAACCAAAAAAAACAGAGAGAGAAUAAAACGGAAGGCUCAAGAAAGCUCUGGAAGCGAGAAAGAAAGUCAGAAGUGGAGAAUUGGACAUUGCAACAGCCAGGACAGAGGCCCAGCAAGGCCCAACACUGUAGCAUAUGAACAGUAAAAAUAAUUGAACAGUAACCGACCCGACGGAAAAUAGAUAUAUAGUAAACUAGAUAGCAACCCCGCGCGUUGCUGCGGGUAUGGAUCUCGAGUACCUACUACGCCAAUAAGUGCAACAAACGACACUUUUCACACAACGGUACACAAUAGCAGAGUUGUACAAAUUUCAAAAAUGCUUCAUACAACGUUCAGAAACAUUCAUCCGUUGUGUGGAUAGUUUGAGAUCAUUCCAGUUUUUUUUUCCUUAAACUAGUACAACACUUUAGACAAUAUUUUGUUGUCUGAAUGAAGAUAAAAAUGAGGCCCAUUUUGCUUCUAACCUCACUCUAUUUUGACAUAUGAUAAGACGUAUUUGCACACGCAUCAAUUAACCAUGUCAACAAAUCAGUCGUAGUAUAAAGCAAGCAGGGAUCGUUCUAAACCAGGGAUCCAACUACAGGGUAGAUCCAUCUAAUCUAAUAAAAAUGUCGAAAUAAGCAUAUAUGGUUUAAAGGUUUUGAUGAUUUUGGAAUAAACAUUGAAAAUAAAUCCUAAAUUACUUCUAUACAUAUUUACAUGUGAUCAACCAACAUUCAUGCAAACUCAACCAAACAACCAUGCAAGAAUAAAGAAGACGAUUUCUAAUCUCAUUUAAGUCUACACCGUGAGCAAAUAUACAACCUAAAUUUGAUAUGCACAUAAGUUCCUACGUGGUUCCUAUGACAUAGACCAACUUAGAAUUAGACUACGGGUUUCAUUCAACAUCGCGACACAACAAGCUCGGCUACAUGCUCUACUUAUUGGUCACACACAUAAACUAAUCAUGC
rnacentral:lncRNA from 1 species